GAGCGAUUAGUUCAGUGGGAGAAUACAUCCUUGACAGGGAUGGGGUCGGGGUUCGAAUCCCUCAUCGCUCA
rnacentral:tRNA from 1 species